rnacentral:lncRNA from 1 species
GCCUCCUUGACAGCUUCAACACAGAGAGAGAGAGCAGCUGUAGGGAGAAAAAGGACAAACAUCACCCCUCUCCAGCUGUGCUUUCCCAUACACAGACAAAUCCUGCUAGGAAAUGACAAGGAGCAGCUAAAGGAAACGGGCUUCGGAGAUACAAAACGCUCAUCACUGCCGCGCUUGGAAUGGAUUCAUUAAAAAACUAGGAACUUGCAAACAUUCCCAAUAUUUGGAGUGCUUGUCUAUUCAAACAGAGAGAAGACAGUGCCAAAAAGGCUCUCAGGCUACUCCCUAGAAGAGAGGUGUCAAUGCACAAAACUUGGUGAGGAUGUCUCGAGUGAUGGCAUCUUUUCUCCUUCAGACCAGUCCACCUUCACUAACUUUUAGCCAGAGGAGCUUCCUACGCAGAGCAUCAGAGUGUUGCACACACAUGACCAGAACUGCCACAGGCAGACACCAGAAACUACACUAAAAACAAUUAAAAUAUGCUCAUGAAAUCCCACUUCCCUGCUCAUCCAGCCCAUCAAACUCUAGUCUAGAUGAUGGGGUUUCUGAGCUCCUCUGAGCAAACAGUGUGAAAAUAUAAGUCUUGGUUUGGUGCAUGCCCAGAGUGUUGAACUAAUAACACUUGUCUCAUAUGUAAG